UACGUAGGGACCGAGCGUUGUCCGGAAUUACUGGGCGUAAAGCGCGUGUAGGCGGAUGGGCAAGUCUGCUGUGAAAGCUCCUGGCUUAACCGGGAGUGGUCGGUGGAAACUGCCAAUCUGGAGGACGGUAGAGGUAGGUAGAAUUCCCGGUGUAGUGGUGAAAUGCGUAGAGAUCGGGAGGAAUACCCGUGGCGAAGGCGGCCUACUGGGCCGGACCUGACGCUGAGACGCGAAGGCGUGGGGAGCGAACGGG
rnacentral:rRNA from 1 species